UACAUCUUUUUUUUUUUUAAUUUGCAAAAAUUUAUUCAUAUACAAAUGUGCAAUAUCAAUAAAAUGACCAAACAGGUUUGUUCUUGAAACAUUUUCAAUUGAAUGGGAAUUAAAUGCUUUUGAAAAGUGACAAAAUGAUCAUACAGUGAAGUUGUCUCUUUCUUUAUAUAACAAGCAUAAAUCAAGUACUAACUCUUGAUUUUACUCUGAAUUAACCAUGACAUACUAAAUGAACUUGGGCUUCAGGCAGAACCUACAUCUUAAGGCGAGCUCCAGGCGAUGGGUAUGCACAUUAAGGCUUAGGAAGCACACUGUUCUAGGUUAACAGCUCAGGUCUCUGGGCUUAGCACUACAGGGAGAACGUGACUAGGAAGUGCAGACUUGGGUUCUGAUCUCAGGCUUACCACUAAAUAUCUGCUGUUUCCCACAGCCCUGCCCGCUUCUCAGGACUGUGGGGGACCAAAUGGGAUCCUUAUUAACAAGGUCCUGUAAGAUCUGGGUCCAGCCUGCCUCAGACCUUAUCAUGUAAUACUUUCUAUUUUGAGUUGGGCUUUCUAACCAGGCUGACCUCAAGUAGAGUUUGUUUCUGCCUCAGGGCCUUUGCACAGGCUGUUUUCUCUGCCUGGAACACCCUCCCUUUUGACCUCUGCACUGCAGCUGCCUCCUGUUAAUCAGAUCUCAGCCUAAAUGUUGUCUCUCCAGUGAGACCCUCCAGGGACUGCACGAGUAUCAAAUACCUUUGUCAAGAAAUAAAACCUCCCCAGGCCGUGCGCAGUGGCUCACGCCUAUAAUUCCAGCACUUUGGGAGGCCGAGUCACCAUGCCUGGCUGUUUAUGCCUAGUUUUAAAUUAGCUGGACAGCUCCAGAUGCAACCAGAGGUGCAA
rnacentral:lncRNA from 1 species